AGAGUUUGAUCCUGGCUCAGGACGAACGCUGGCGGCGUGCCUAAUACAUGCAAGUAGAACGCUGAAGAGAGGAGCUUGCUCUUCUUGGAUGAGUUGCGAACGGGUGAGUAACGCGUAGGUAACCUGCCUUGUAGCGGGGGAUAACUAUUGGAAACGAUAGCUAAUACCGCAUAACAAUGGAUGACACAUGUCAUUUAUUUGAAAGGGGCAAUUGCUCCACUACAAGAUGGACCUGCGUUGUAUUAGCUAGUAGGUGAGGUAAUGGCUCACCUAGGCGACGAUACAUAGCCGACCUGAGAGGGUGAUCGGCCACACUGGGACUGAGACACGGCCCAGACUCCUACGGGAGGCAGCAGUAGGGAAUCUUCGGCAAUGGGGGCAACCCUGACCGAGCAACGCCGCGUGAGUGAAGAAGGUUUUCGGAUCGUAAAGCUCUGUUGUAAGUCAAGAACGGGUGUGAGAGUGGAAAGUUCACACUGUGACGGUAGCUUACCAGAAAGGGACGGCUAACUACGUGCCAGCAGCCGCGGUAAUACGUAGGUCCCGAGCGUUGUCCGGAUUUAUUGGGCGUAAAGCGAGCGCAGGCGGUUUGAUAAGUCUGAAGUUAAAGGCUGUGGCUCAACCAUAGUUCGCUUUGGAAACUGUCAAACUUGAGUGCAGAAGGGGAGAGUGGAAUUCCAUGUGUAGCGGUGAAAUGCGUAGAUAUAUGGAGGAACACCGGUGGCGAAAGCGGCUCUCUGGUCUGUAACUGACGCUGAGGCUCGAAAGCGUGGGGAGCGAACAGGAUUAGAUACCCUGGUAGUCCACGC
rnacentral:rRNA from 1 species